rnacentral:misc_RNA from 1 species
ACCGACACGCACGACUAUGACGUCAAGAUGCGCAACGUCAUCCGCUUCCUGGAGAACGGCGACAAGGUGAAGGUCACCCUGCGUUUCCGUGGCCGCGAGAUGGCGCACCAGAACCUCGGCCGCGAGCUGCUGGAACGGGUUGCCGAGGAUAUAAAGGAACUGGGCAAGGUCGAGAACAUGCCCAAGAUGGAAGGCCGGCAGAUGGUCAUGAUGAUCGGACCGAUUGCCAAGUAGCGCCUUCCAGGCGAACCGGCGGGUCAACCGCUUGCGCCAGAAGAUUUCCCGCCGGGUGCCAAGACAUUCGGCGGAACGGCAGGACCCCGG